CGGCCGCGUCGACGGGUGAGUAACGCGUGGGUAACCUGGCCUCACACUGGGGGAUAACAGUCAGAAAUGACUGCUAAUACCGCAUAAGCGCACGGAACCGCAUGGUUGUGUGAAAAACUCCGGUGGUGUGAGAUGGACCCGCGUUGGAUUAGCCAGUUGGCAGGGUAACGGCCUACCAAAGCGACGAUCCAUAGCCGGCCUGAGAGGGUGAACGGCCACAUUGGGACUGAGACACGGCCCAGACUCCUACGGGAGGCAGCAGUGGGAAUAUUGCACAAUGGGGGAAACCCUGGAUGCAGCGACGCCGCGUGAAGGAAGAAGUAUCUCGGUAUGUAAAGUGCUUUCAGUUGGGACGAAGUAAGUGACGGUACCAACGAGAGGAAGCGACGGGCUAAAUACGUGCCAGCAGCCCCGUGACGCGGCCG
rnacentral:rRNA from 1 species